rnacentral:rRNA from 1 species
GCCCUUACGGGGCGCAGCAGGCGCGAAACCUCCGCAAUGUGAGAAAUCGCGACGGGGGGAUCCCAAGUGCCAUUCUUAACGGGAUGGCUUUUCUUUAGUGUAAAAAGCUUUUGGAAUAAGAGCUGGGCAAGACCGGUGCCAGCCGCCGCGGUAAUACAAGGGC